UACGGAGGGAGCUAGCGUUAUUCGGAAUUACUGGGCGUAAAGCGUGCGCAGGCGGUUUUGUAAGUCUGUCGUGAAAGCCCCGGGCUUAACCUGGGAAUUGCGAUGGAGACUGCAAGGCUUGAAUCUGGCAGAGGGGGGUAGAAUUCCACGUGUAGCAGUGAAAUGCGUAGAGAUGUGGAGGAACACCGAUGGCGAAGGCAGCCCCCUGGGUCAAGAUUGACGCUCAUGCACGAAAGCGUGGGGAGCAAACAGG
rnacentral:rRNA from 1 species